AAAGUCGUAACAAGGUUUCCGUAGGUGAACCUGCGGAAGGAUCAUUACCAAAUUUAUCGGCCCCUGGCCGGUCCUAGGCCGCGCGCGGGCGUCAAAAACCCCCGCGGCUCAAGGUUCCACCCUUUGUGAAAACCCCAACAUUUGCCUCGGCGGCCCUUCUGCCCCUUCGGGAGGGCGGAAGAUCAGUCCGCCGGCGGCACCCAUUGAAACCCUUUUUUCUUUGAAAAGAAGUAUUUUUUUGUCUGAACCAAUGGUCGAAUGACUAUAAAACUUUCAACAACGGAUCUCUUGGUUCCC
rnacentral:misc_RNA from 1 species